rnacentral:misc_RNA from 1 species
CUUGGAGAUGGAGCCAAAGAUUGUCGUCAUCAUGGCUGGUGAUUAUAACCCUACUUACUUGGCCAACCCUGUGCCUUGCACUUGCCAAUCUCAUCAACAACUGUAACUUAUAUCUAUCAUCCAUCUUUUAGGCCUCUCUGUCGCAAACUGAUCACUUCCUUUCCAUUUUUCUUCAUUUUUUUACUGCUUUCUGAUGAGAUUUAGACUUUUCUUGGAGUUUGCGGGAAUAUAUAUGUAAAUUGAUGAGAACUCAUAAUAAAUCAAGGAUAUGUGCUAUUAUAUAUUUAUUUACAUGUCUUGCUUGAAG